UUAAUUGAAGCCAAAAAUAGAGGCCUAUCACUGUUAAUGAUACCACUGGGUUAAACCCCAAUUAAG
rnacentral:tRNA from 1 species